AUACUCAUUGGUCCCUGCCCUAGAGAGUGAAGAAUCUGCCAGCACCAUAAGGAUCUGGGAGUUGCAGGAAGCUUUCACAGAUAUGGUUUUCUUGGGAGAAGCUGCCACAAGAUGGCAGUGCCUCAGAUCACAGAGGUUCCUCCACUUUUAGAAACAAAGAGGCGGAAGUCAUGAACAGCAAAGCUGCUGGGGAGAAUCUUGGAAUCCACAGCAUUUCAGAACUUAAAGGAUCCUUUGAAAGGUAAGACCCUAGGAUGUAAGUAUAUACCCUCGGUAUAAGUGUGACCCUCUUAAAGAUCAGAGCUUUUAUUUCCCUUGUAUCAUCUAGCACUUAAUAGACAUGCAGGAUAUAUU
rnacentral:lncRNA from 1 species